AGAAUCCCAUAGACAGAGGAGACUGGCAAGCUACAGUCAAUAGGGUCACAAAGAGUCAGACAUGACUGAACUUAGCACGCAUGCAUGCAAUGCUCUUUUAUGUGGUGGAAUAAGUGCCCUGAUGGGGCUGGGGAAGAAAAGAAGGUGUCUAUACCAUUUCCAUUCAAUUGAGUCAUGUACCCCAUGAAUGGAGACUGGAGUAAGGGAAUGAAGUCACCACCUACCUUGUUCCCCAUGUUUUCCUUUCCCCUUAGCUUACCCUCUUGUUUUACAUAGGAAACUAGUAUUUUCUUUGAGGUCCUGAAAAGUGAGAUCAAAGUCUAAUACUAUAUCUGCCAGACAGGACACAAGACACUGGAACAAGAGAGACAGGAGACUUCCCUGGAGUAACUGUUUAUGUCUAGCUGGGCUGGAGCAAAGGAUUUCAAGAACGGGAGCAAAGAGGGAUCUCCUGGAAAACCUGCUGUUUUCUGCUCUCCUCCCCUGGAGAAGUUGGAAAGGAAGAAAAUCAUCAUCCUGUUUGUUCUUGUUUCAUGUGCUAUUAUGUUCCCUUACUUCUCCAUGAAGAUAACUUCAGGGAAAUACUUCUCCACUGAACCUUUGAAAGUAGGACAUCACAGAAGGAUGUGAACACUGAGCCCCAGAAACAAGAUCCAGUAGAAAGAACCAGUUGUGAUGUUGAGUCUGCUAGACAGGUUCCUGGAGCAAGAGUGAAGAGAUUGGAUCCCAUCAUUGGGACACUUUAGGAAACUUUUUACUUUGAAAAAAAAAUGAUGUCUUUUCAUUGAGGGAGAGAAAGAAAAAUGUGUAGAAAAUGGAGAGUGCUGCCUCCUGGUGAACAGAGUCAGAACUGCAGGUAUGAGUGUCUGAACUGGGGGUUUGGCAAAGGAUGGGGGAUGGAAAGAGCUGUGGAAUUGAACGGAUUCCCUCCUACAGACCAAGAUUUCUAGACUUCACACUGGCAGCAGUCCUUCUGUGUUUAUGCCCAAGCUGGGAUCUUCAAGCCCUGGGACUGGAAAUCCAGCCUCUUAGUGAACUGAGUAGAAAGCUGCAUGAGCUAGUGUAUGAAUAAUUGGUAUAAACAGUUUGAGACAAGAAACAGAUAUAAAUACACACACAAACAGAAAACUGUCAAGUACAUUGUUUUCAUCUCCUUCUGAAACAAUGAAUAUAUGAACAUUACAUCUGCUAUCAGGGUGCAAUUUUUUGUAUUUUCAACAUUUUAUUCAGUAAAUUACAUAUUGAAAACACCCUAAAAAAAAAAAUGAAAACACCCUAGAAAUGCAACGUUAUAAAAUAAAAACAUCCUCUAUCUUUGACAAUGCAUAUUCACUGAAUAAUCAUUAAAGAGAUCUGUUUAAUCCUUAAGUCAGUGAAUGUAUUUCUACACUAUUAUUUUGUGACUCAGCUGUUGAUAAACCUGUUUUACAAAACUUUCUCUUAAUAUGUUGAUAAGUCACCAAUUAAUACUUCUCUUUGUUUAACACAUUUGAAAAAAAUAGAGACACGAGUUUCUCUUAACUUCUUGGUGCCUACUUUCCAGAUUUUUCUCUGCAUGUAAUACAGUAACAUAUUUAAUCACACUCAUACAGCCAUGCUGAUAUAUAUUCUUUGCAAAAAAAAGCAUCAUAUUUUUGGUACAUCAUGACAAUCCUGUUCACUUAAUAUGAUUUAGUUCUUACUUAUUUACGUAGUUUUUUUUUCUUUUCAAGUGUUUUUAUGUGCUCUUGAUAUCUUUGACCUACUCUAUUGGUCCUACUCUACUAUAGGACCUACUCUACUGUAGGACCUACUAUAGGUCUUACAUUGACCUACUCUAUUUAAGAAAUAAACCUAUACGUGAAUAUAAUAUCUUCCAGGUGUUUACACAUCUUUUAAUGUUGUUAUGCAGAGGAUAUCUAAUCCUUCGUAAUGAGUUUUAGUGUUUUGCAUGUACUUCACAUUGUUUUGAAAAGAACAACUGGAUAAUGAUGCUUCCUGGGAUGUCGAAUGUCAGUUAAAGUAUAAAAUGGGGAAUGCUGAAUCAUUUUUGUAACUCCAGUUUAUGAAUCCUGAAGUAG